GCGGCCAUGGUGGCGGUGCGCUGCCUUCUGCUGCUGCUGUGCGGCGCUGUGCUGGGGCGCGCCGUGCACCUCGACUUCGCCGAGCACCGCAGCCAGGCGGCCAAGAUCAAGGUCAACCCCCGCGGCAACCUGUGGGCCACAGGUCACUUCAUGGGGAAGAAGAGCGUGCCGGGCACCCCGCGAAUGGAUGAACUGCGGCAGCCGGCGGCGCCGAUGUCUUUCGGCCCCUCGCUCAGAGCUUUGCUGGAGGACGUGGUGGAACUGCUUACCCGGGAGCUCCUGAAAAUCCUCUUGCAAGAAAGACUUUUGGAUCAGAACCAAAGAAAAUACGAUCUCGCUGACCAGCAGAAAGUAAUGGAGAGCCUAGAAGAGAUGAAAUCCUCAUGGGUGUGUCCUGUGUGUGCUCCCACUGAGCUGCCAUGCUUGAGGAGCCAUUCAGUAGCUGAACACAGAUUUAGGUAAACUGAGGAUCUGCUAGCAAACUAAUCCCCUUGGGACAGAAGAUACAGCUGGAGAUGGAGCCAGAGCUAGAACCCAGUGCUGGACAUCAGCCUUUGGAGACUGGGCUUUUAACAAAGGUGCUGGAGAAGUAUUUCUCAAACUGAAGAAGCGCAGCAGUGAAGGAU